rnacentral:rRNA from 1 species
GACGAACGCUGGCGGCGUGCUUAACACAUGCAAGUCGAACGGAAAGGCCCUGCUUUUGUGGGGUGCUCGAGGGGCGAACGGGUGAGUAACACGUGAGUAACCUGCCCUUGACUUUGGGAUAACUUCAGGAAACUGGAGCUAAUACCGGAUAGGAGCUCCUGCUGCAUGGUGGGGGUUGGAAAGUUUCGGCGGUUGGGGAUGGACUCGCGGCUUAUCAGCUUGUUGGUGGGGUAGUGGCUUACCAAGGCUUUGACGGGUAGCCGGCCUGAGAGGGUGACCGGCCACAUUGGGACUGAGAUACGGCCCAGACUCCUACGGGAGGCAGCAGUGGGGAAUAUUGCACAAUGGGCGGAAGCCUGAUGCAGCAACGCCGCGUGCGGGAUGACGGCCUUCGGGUUGUAAACCGCUUUCGCCUGUGACGAAGCGUGAGUGACGGUAAUGGGUAAAGAAGCACCGGCUAACUACGUGCCAGCCGCCGCCGUAAUAC